rnacentral:rRNA from 1 species
UCAAACUGGGAUUAGAUACCCCACUAUGCUCAGUCGUAAAAUAUUUAUUUACACUUCACACGCCAGGGUAUUACGAGCUUCAGCUUAAAACCCAAAGGACUUGACGGUGUCCCACCCACCUAGAGGAGCCUGUUCUAUAAUCGACACCCCCCGCUACACCUAACCUCUUUUUGCCUUUCAGCCUGUAUACCUCCGUCGUAAGUCUACCAUGUGAACGCUUAUAGUAUACUUAAUGGUUUUUCACCAAUACGUCAGGUCAAGGUGCAGCCUAUGAAGAGGUAAGCAAUGGGCUACAAUUUCUAACUUAGAACAUACGAAAAACUUCAUGAAACACAGUUUUUGAAGGCGGAUUUAGCAGUAAAAAGAAAAUAGCGUGUUCUUUUUAAUUCCGGCACUGGGACGUGUACACACCGCCCGUCACCCUUUGA